rnacentral:precursor_RNA from 17 species
UACCAUGGUCAGACACUGCCAGUUGCUAUAAACCCGUAGAUCCGAUCUUGUGGUGAAGUCUAGUGCGCAAGCUCGCUUCUAUGGGUCUGUGUCAAUGUGGUCAUAUAGCCGCCGUGACC